rnacentral:rRNA from 1 species
GAAUCCCCGCAAGGGUGGGAACCGGCGUAAGGGGCAGUAAGGCGUGGGUACCUACCCCGGGGUCCGGGAUAGCCCUUCGAGAGAAGGGGUAAUACCGGAUGACCUGGUGACAGCAAAGGCUUGCCGCCCCGGGAGGGGCCCACGUGAUAUUAGCUAGUCGGCGGGGUGACGGCCCACCGAGGCGAAGAUGUCUAGCGGGUGUGAGAGCACGACCCGCGCCACUGGCACUGAGACACUGGCCAGACACCUACGGGUGGCUGCAGUCGAGGAUCUUCGGCAAUGGGGGCAACCCUGACCGAGCGAUGCCGCGUGUGCGACGAAGGCCUUCGGGUUGUAAAGCACUGUCGAGGGGGGGAAAAGCCCGCGAGGGUUUGAUCGACCCCUGGAGGAAGCUCGGGCUAAGUUCGUGCCAGCAGCCGCGGUAAGACGAACCGAGCGAACGUU